rnacentral:rRNA from 1 species
CCCUCAAGAUGAGAUUUCCCAACUUCGGUUAUAAGAUCCCUCGAAGAUGUCGAGGUUAAUAGGUUCGAGGUGGAAGCGUGGUGACACGUGGAGCUGACGAAUACUAAUCGAUCGAAGACUUAAUCAA